ensembl:lncRNA
GAGGGGGACCUUCUGACCUCCAAGGUGUUGCGGCUGGAGGACAGUGUGGAGGACCUGAAGAUCAAGCUGACCACGGCCAUGUCUGACAAGGACCGCUUACUGCAGGAGAAGGCAGACCUGCACCAGCAUGCUCAGGAUCUGGAGCUGCAGUUGGAGAGGGCCCAGAGAGGCAGGGAAGGCUACACGGACCAGGUGUGUGAGCUCAGCAACCAGCUGGCUGAGGCCAAGGCUCACACCAACAGGCAGGGGCAGGACACUGUGCAGAUGAAACAGGAACUUCUGACUGUGACAGAGAUGAAUGAAAAGAUGACAUCAGAGCUGGAGAUGGUCAGACAGAGGCUGGAGUCCUCAUUGGCUCAGCUGCAUGAGCUGGGGGCGGAGAGAGUCAUCCACACCAAUCAGAUCGCAGCUCUGGAGACGGAGCGCUCGCAGCUGAUUGGAGAGAAGCAGGAGUUGACGAGUUCUAUUGGACGGGAUGGAAGACAGGAGGAGGAAGUGACAGAGUUGAGGGAGAGUUGUUGUCAGCUCAGUGAAUCCCAGGAUGCCUUGGAGUCAGAGAACCAGAGGCUGCACGAAUGCUGCCUGACCUUGGAGGCGGAGCUCCUGGAAAAGGAGGAGGGGCUGUGUCAGAAGGGGGAGGAGCUGCAGCGGUUGGAGGCUGAGUCGGCUCAGAACAUGGAGGAGCUGAGGGGUGUGGCCUCACACUGGAGCGAGAAGUGGCAGGAUGUGGCUAUGGCAUUACAAUCCACCCAGGCAGAACUAGAGGAACUCAGAGAGAAGAACCCUGGAGAUACACUUCAAGAGGAGGUGGUACGGCUGAAGGUGGAGGUUGAGAGACUUCAGACACAGGGACAGAGAGACAAGGAAGAGAUUCAGACUCUUCAUCAGCACUGGGCCAGUAAAGAGGCGGAGCUGAGCAGAGUCAUUAAAGAUGCCGGUUCUCUGCUGAAGGUAGAGCUGAACGCUUGUAAACAACAGUUGGAGCUGGAGAGGAGCCGGACUCGGGCUCUACACAACAGACUCAAAGUUAAAGACAACCCUCAUAUCUUGGGUAGGGGAAUGGUAGAAACGUUUGAUAAAGGGACAGAGACAGAUAUACUACCACAGACACGGGAUGAACAGGUCUCGCUGGAGGAGCUGGGCCAGGUGAGGGAAGAGCUACUGAUGGUCUCCCUGGAGGAGGUGGAUGGGGGCCAGGUGAGGGUAGAGCUACUGGAGGAGGUGGAUGGGGCCCAGGUGAGGGCAGAGCUACUGAUGGUCUCCCUGGAGGAGGUGGAUGGGGGCCAGGUGAGGGCAGAGCUACUGGAGGAGGUGGAUGGGGCCCAGGUGAGGGCAGAGCUACGGAUGGUCUCCCUGGAGGAGGUGGGUGGGGGCCAGGUGAGGGCAGAGCUACUGGAGGAGGUGGAUGGGGCCCAGGUGAGGGCAGAGCUACUGAUGGUCUCCCUGGAGGAGCUGGGCCAGGUGAGGGCAGAGCUACAGAUGGUCUCCCUGGAGGAGGUGGAUGGGGCCCAGGUGAGGGCAGAGCUACUGGAGGAGGUGGAUGGGGGCCAGGUGAGGGCAGAGCUACAGAUGGUCUCCCUGGAGGAGGUGUGGAUGGGGGCAAGGUGAGGGUAGAGUUACUGGAGGUGGAUGGGGCCCAGGUGAAGGCAGAGCUACAGAUGGUCUCCCUGGAGGAAGUGGAUGGGGGCCAGGUGAGGGCAGAGCUACUGGAGGAGGUGGAUGGGGGCCAGGUGAGGGCAGAGCUACUGGAGGAGGUGGAUGGGGGCCAGGUGAGGGCAGAGCUACUGGAGGAGGUGGAUGGGGCCCAAGUGAGGGCAGAGCUACUGGAGCAGGUGG